rnacentral:rRNA from 1 species
GAUGAACGCUGGCGGCGUGCCUAAUACAUGCAAGUCGAGCGAACAGACGAGGAGCUUGCUCCUCUGACGUUAGCGGCGGACGGGUGAGUAACACGUGGAUAAUCUACCUAUAAGACUGGGAUAACUUCGGGAAACCGGAGCUAAUACCGGAUAAUAUAUUGAACCGCAUGGUUCAAUAGUGAAAUACGGUUUUGCUGGCACUUAUAGAUGGAUCCGCGCCGCAUUAGCUAGUUGGUAAGGUAACGGCUUACCAAGGCAACGAUGCGUAGCCGACCUGAGAGGGUGAUCGGCCACACUGGAACUGAGACACGGUCCAGACUCCUACGGGAGGCAGCAGUAGGGAAUCUUCCGCAAUGGGCGAAAGCCUGACGGAGCAACGCCGCGUGAGUGAUGAAGGUCUUCGGAUCGUAAAACUCUGUUAUUAGGGAAGAACAAAUGUGUAAGUAACUAUGCACGUCUUGACGGUACCUAAUCAGAAAGCCACGGCUAACUACGUG